AAACAAAUCACCUAGGGAUCUUGGUAAACUGAAGAUUGAGAUUCAGAAAGUCUGGGAUAGACCUGACAUUCUUCAUUUUGAAAGCUCCCAAAUGGUGCUGAU
rnacentral:pre_miRNA from 1 species